UACGUAGGGGGCAAGCGUUGUCCGGAAUCACUGGGCGUAAAGCGCGCGCAGGCGGCUAUCUACGUCCGGGGUGAAAGCCCAGAGCUCAACUCUGGGACUGCCUUGGAUACGGGAUCGCUUGAGGAUCGGAGAGGCAAGGGGAAUUCCACGUGUAGCGGUGAAAUGCGUAGAUAUCUGGAGGAACACCGGUGGCGAAGGCGGCAUCCUGGACCGGCAUUGACGCUGAGGAGCGAAAGCCAGGGGAGCAAACGGG
rnacentral:rRNA from 1 species